rnacentral:rRNA from 1 species
GUGUCGUGAGAUGUUGGGUUAAGUCCGUAACGAGCGCAACCCUUGUCCUUAGUUACCAGCACGUUAUGUGGGCACUCUAAGGAGACUGCCGGUGACAAACCGGAGGAAGGUGGGGAUGACGUCAAGUCAUCAUGGCCCUUACGGCCUGGGCUACACACGUGCUACAAUGGUCGGUACAAAGGGUUGCCAAGCCGCGAGGUGGAGCUAAUCCCAUAAAACCGAUCGUAGUCCGGAUCGCAGUCUGCAACUCGACUGCGUGAAGUCGGAAUCGCUAGUAAUCGUGAAUCAGAAUGUCACGGUGAAUACGUUCCCGGGCCUU